rnacentral:rRNA from 1 species
UGGGGAAUUUUGGACAAUGGGCGAAAGCCUGAUCCAGCAAUGCCGCGUGUGUGAAGAAGGCCUUCGGGUUGUAAAGCACUUUUGUCCGGAAAGAAAUCCUUGGCUCUAAUACAGUCGGGGGAUGACGGUACCGGAAGAAUAAGCACCGGCUAACUACGUGCCAGCAGCCGCGGUAAUACGUAGGGUGCAAGCGUUAAUCGGAAUUACUGGGCGUAAAGCGUGCGCAGGCGGUUUGCUAAGACCGAUGUGAAAUCCCCGGGCUCAACCUGGGAACUGCAUUGGUGACUGGCAGGCUAGAGUAUGGCAGAGGGGGGUAGAAUUCCACGUGUAGCAGUGAAAUGCGUAGAGAUGUGGAGGAAUACCGAUGGCGAAGGCAGCCCCCUGGGCCAAUACUGACGCUCAUGCACGAAAGCGUGGGGAGCAAGCAGGAUUAGAUACCCUGGUAGUCCACGCCCUAAACGAUGUCAACUAGUUGUUGGGGAUUCAUUUCCUUAGUAACGUAGCUAACGCGUGAAGUUGACCGCCUGGGGAGUACGGUCGCAAGAUU